rnacentral:tRNA from 1 species
UUUAAUAUGGCAGAAUAGUGCAAUGGAUUUAAACCCCAUAUAUAAAAUUAAAUUUUUAUUAAAA